UGCUGCUGUGCCCGGGGGGGCUUCCAGGGACUUCACUCUGCCGUCUGCACCCCCUGUAGGACUUGGGGGUGGGAUAACCCGUUGUGGCCUAGGGGCAGGCAGCCCCUGCUUCACAGCCAGGACCCCCUCCCUGCAGGCGUUUCCUGCCACCUGGGCAGAUGAGGAGUGGAGGCUCAGGGAGGGGGCGGUGGGGCGGUGCGGCCCGGCAGGUGCUCUGGGGCCCAGGCCCCAACCUGAGUGGAAGGACCUGCUGCGGCAGCACGGGGUUGGCUCUGAAUACCUGCUGGGAAAAAGAAAAACCGUCAGGCCCUUGGCCUUCAUGGAUGGUAGCCUGACUCCCUGAGCCCUGGGCCAGGCUCCCAGGAAGCAGCGUUGCUGUGGAAGCUGACGUUUGGGUCCCUUUCUCGCCACCUAGCUGGCCUGUCCAGCGAAAUCCCACCACGCCUGUCUGCUGCGCGUUCAGCUGGUAGAUGGGACGUGAGUUCUCGAAAAGACAAUGUCCUCCUCCCUCCGGAAUGCUCUUUGCCCAGGUUGGAAAUGGAUGGCUCCAUGUAUCUCCCUGUCUCGGACGCUGACCGCAUCCUUUCCCCAUCCGCCUCUUCCUGUAUCUCCAGGACAGAAUCAACACGCCCGCCUGCAGUGGUCACCAGAGCCCCGACACCCCCAUUCGGGCCAGGCCGCCUUCACAUGGGGACCUCCCGGGAGGCGCAGCAGCAAGCAGGUGUUUAGUGAGGGAGGGAGUGCCCCUGUUUUCUGAGGAGCAAGCCCUGGGCCCAAGAAACAGGAGGGAGUGGACCCACGCUUUUCUGCACUGGGCAGAUGGCUUUGGUGAAAAUGUUUUCGUGGGUCUUGCUGACUUCUCUGUAGCUGCGGGCAGGGUUUGCCACGAGGCCUGCGUUGGGAAGGGGUUCGGAGAGGGCGCUGAUGUUGGAGGGAAGUCCCAGGGAAGAGGCAGAGCCAAGUCUGCCGUGUGGCUGCACAGGGGACCUGGAGCUGCGUCCCGACCAACCUGUUGGCAGCUUUCCGCCCACACAGGGACAAAGGACCACAACUUUGGUGGCUCAAAACGACACAUAUCCAUCCUCUCCUGGUUCCAGAGGGUGCGAUUCGGAAAUCGAGGUGUUGGCAGGACCACGCUCCCCACGAAGCCUCCGGGAGAGGAUCCUCCUGGCCCCUUCCAGUGCCUGGUAGUCCCAGGUGGUCUUUGGCUUGUGGCUGAAUUGCUCCCAGCCCUGCCUCCUUCAUGCGGCCUUCUCCCCAUGUGUCUGUCCUCGUGUGUGUGUGUCUAUGUGUCCUCCCCCCUCUUACAGGGAUGCCAGUCAUUGGAUUAGAGCCCACCCUAAAUCCAGGCCGAUUUCAUCUCGAAUUCCUUAACUAAUUACAGUCCCCAACAUGGCCUCAUUCUGAGGUUUGGAUGGGCCUGAAUCUGGGGGACUCUAUUCAACGCUCCACACAGUGGGAGGGGGUCUCCUGGUUUGUAACAGAAAGUGCGUAAGGAAUGGGAAUCCGUCUGAUGGCAACGGUGGAGCACUGGCCUGUUCUCCGUUCACACCAGGAUGCUGAGGAUGGCGUGUGAACGCGGGGAGGACGUUAACUGGGCCUAGGAGGCCUGGCAGCCUUCUCCCUCCACCCCCUUCUGAGCUGAGCACUGCAGUACCAGGCUGGGGACAGGGCUCCAGGGACAGGAGCCAUGCAUUUGGCUUGGAUGGAGGCUGCGGGGUCAAGUGCGCCAGCGGUGGCUGCUGGUAGAGUGCUCUGUCAAUCCAUUAUUGAUACACACGCACGAAGAGUAACCACUCUUUUAAAUCUUGGCUGAACCAAGCAGGGGGUGAAAGAACAAACUAAUAAAUAACCAUGGUAACGACCUGCCUCCCCUACCCCUGCCCCAGUGGCCUUUGAUCUCAUUAUUCCAGACGCCCGCUUGGAGACGGUGGGCAGGUGAACUUUGCAAACACUCACUGAGGUCUUUGCAUUUUUAUGGCUUCUGCUGGCCAUGCCGGGGCGUCUUUGUGGGCAUGGGGAGGGAUGUGCAUUUCAACACGCAGGGAUCUGCCUCCUGCCAGAGCAUCACCCACAGCCCCCGCCCUUCUGAGGAGCUGAGGGUGAGGGCUGCUGUGUCUGUGAGCCAGGGGUGGGAGGGAGCUGCCUGGGUAGGGGCAUUUGGGCAUCUCGGUAGAGAUAACCUCUGUGGCCAUCUCAGGGGUGGGCUGGGCCCGGCCUGGACUCCUGGGGUUAGGCUCCCCCACUCCCAGCCUCCCAGCGCCCCAGCCUCCAAGCCUCCCAGCGCCCUGGCCUCCCAGCACCCCAGUCUCCCAGCCUUCCAGCUCCCCGGCCUCCCAGCCUCCCAGCGCCCCAGCCUCCCAGCCUCCUAGCGCCCUAGCCUCCCAGCCUCCCAGCCUCCCAGUGCCCCAUCCUGCCAGCACCCUGGCCUCCCAGCCUCCCAGCCUCCCAGUGCCCUGACCUCCCAGCCUCUCGGCCUCCCAGCACCCCGGCAGAGCCACCGUUUCAAUAUACAUCUUUGUUUGUGGGCAGGACGUGUCUCUGACCAGGGCUUCCCGAGACCUUGGCUUUUCCUGACACAAUUAUUGCCACCACAGGGACUCAUUUUCAGUGUGGCCAACACUGACCCAGCUGGUCCCCUCCCCAUUGUCCG
rnacentral:lncRNA from 1 species